rnacentral:tRNA from 1 species
UGCGACCUUGGUGGAACGGUAGACACGCUACUUUGAGGUGGUAGUGCCGAAAGGUGUGCGAGUUCAAAUCUCGCAGGUCGCACCAU